ensembl:lncRNA
CGUGGGUGUGCGCGAUGGUGGUCUGGUGAUUCUUUCAUGGCUUAAUGAGGGUUUCCUGGUCUGUUGCUUUGUUCCGGUUGCCAAGCAACGACAAGAUCAACAGCGUCGGCUCCCACCUGUGCCCAAUCACACACCUGGCCCUGAUGAGCACCACCACAGCAUUUAAGCAGAGACCUGACAUCCAGUCCCUGCCAGAUCGUUAACCAUACCAUCACUCACCCCCUGGAUUCCCGUCACCCCCGCCUGGCAACCUGAACCUUUUCCCUCACCACGACAUCACCAGCAUUCUCCUGUCUGCAC